CCAGGAUCCGCCAGGAUUGGGGAGGGAGGCAGGAGGCUUCUCUAGGUAUAAAGCAGCUGGAAUGUGGAGUUUCCUCCCAGGAGCCGAGAGUGCGUCCAUGGGCCCAGCACCUGGCGUGCCCUCCCUGGGAGCUUGCUGGACGCAUGACCAGGAUUCUGGGAGGGCAGAGGACAGACUGCAGGCACCCAGGAUAACUCAGCACACACGGGUUCUCAGCUUCCUGUUCACACAGAAACCUCGGACAAGAAGCACGUUGCCCAUUUUUCAUCAAGGCCAACCCCAGACCACGAGAACGCUUUCUCCGCGUCAGCCCCAGCACCCCAGCGCCCCUGCCUCCAGGCGCCCACGGCCGCCGCACUCCAGUGGCCCGGACCUGGCUGAGGCAGCUCCCGUGGUAGAUCAGGCCUCACAGGCGGCUGGAAGAGCCAGUUCUGGGCCGGGCCUGUGGGAACAGGCGUCUGUUAGUCAGGGUUUCAGGAAUGCCGCCUUCGGAGCCUGAAGCGGGGAAUGGCGGCUCUGGGCCCUCAAGGGGCAGCCGGUGAGCCUGGGAGGCCAGGCCCGGCUGACCCAAGGGGAGAGGGACCCUCUCCGCCCACUGCCGCUGGCCCUGGGCAGGUCUAGAGCCUGGGGGUCCCCAGAGGCACAAUCCCUUAUCUCCGGGAGAAGGCAGAGCGCAGAGGCAGGAUACAAAUCUCCUGUCAGAAUUCCCAGUUAAAAUACUAAGUGAUGGCUCCAGGCUCGGACACUGGACACGGAGAGAAUAAGGGACAAUCAGCCCCGACAGCCUGGGCUAACAAGACGGUUAAUUACAGCCCGAGAAGAACGUUAACAGUAUUCAUUCUAACCACAAAGGAGGAAAAGAGAAGACUGCCACCCUUGCCCCAGCCCUGCCUGGCCCCUCCCACCCUUGCCCCAGCCCCUGCCUGGUCCUGCCCACCUCACCCCAGCACCUCCUAUGGGACUCACGCCUUUGUCUCGGGCUUUUGGUUUUCAAAAUAAAUUAUAAGUUUU
rnacentral:lncRNA from 1 species